AGACUCCUACGGAGGCAGCAGUGAGGAAUAUUGGACAAUGGGCGCAAGCCUGAUCCAGCCAUGCCGCGUGCAGGAUGACGGUCCUAUGGAUUGUAAACUGCUUUUGCACAGGAAGAAACACUCCCUCGUGAGGGAGCUUGACGGUACUGUGAGAAUAAGGAUCGGCUAACUCCGUGCCAGCAGCCGCGGUAAUACGGAGGAUCCAAGCGUUAUCCGGAAUCAUUGGGUUUAAAGGGUCCGUAGGCGGUUUAGUAAGUCAGUGGUGAAAGCCCAUCGCUCAACGGUGGAACGGCCAUUGAUACUGCUAGACUUGAAUUAUUAGGAAGUAACUAUAAUAUGUAGUGUAGCGGUGAAAUGCUUAAAGAUUACAUGGAAUACCAAUUGCGAAGGCAGGUUACUACUAAUGGAUUGACGCUGAUGGACGAAAGCGUGGGUAGCGAACAGGAUUAAAUACCCUGGUAGUCCACGCCGUAAACGAUGGAUACUAUCUGUUGGGAGCAAUCUCAGUGGUUAAGCGAAAGUGAUAAGUAUCCCACCUGGGGAGUACGUUCGCAAGAAUGAAACUCAAAGGAAUUGACGGGGGCCCGCACAAGAGAU
rnacentral:rRNA from 1 species